rnacentral:rRNA from 1 species
GAUGAACGCUGGCGGCGUGCUUAACACAUGCAAGUCGAACGAGAAAUGGAGACGGAAACCUUCGGGCGGAAGGCUUCAUUUCGAGUGGCGGACGGGUGAGUAACGCGUGGGUAACCUGCCUCAUACAGGGGGAUAACAGUUGGAAACGACUGUUAAUACCGCAUAAGACCACAGCACCGCAUGGUGCGGGGGUAAAAACUCCGGUGGUAUGAGAUGGACCCGCGUUCGAUUAGCCAGUUGGCGGGGUAACGGCCCACCAAAGCGACGAUCGAUAGCCGAUCUGAGAGGAUGGCCGGCCACAUUGGGACUAAGACACGGCACAAACUCCUACGGGAGGCAGCAGUGGGGAAUAUUGCACAAUGGGGGAAACCCUGAUGCAGCGACGCCGCGUGAGUGAAGAAGUACUUCGGUAUGUAAAGCUCUAUCAGCAGGGAAGAAAAUGACGGUACCUGAGGAAGAAGCCCCGGCUAACUACGUG